rnacentral:misc_RNA from 1 species
GUUUAAAAAAAAAAAAUUUUAAAUGAUGAGAGAUGCAUGUGAGGGAAUGGCACUGUGAUAGCAGACAGCAGUGAGAAUGCAAGGUGCAUUGCCUCUCUACUUUGUAAAAUGCCCCGCUUGCAGACCCUCAACAGUCAACACCUCACUCUGUACUCUCUACUCAACAUCAACAAUUAGGUUAUAAUAUAAGACCUAGGCGGGACCUAGUGGAGUCUGGACUUAAAUAGUUUUGUUCAGAUUCAGUUCAGCCCAUUUAAAAUAACUAAUGAUUUGUUGGCCCAGUGGUUAGUGAUGAGGUUGGUUGGGAGAGACCCAGGCUCAAGUCUGAGAGUUGUAAAUGUAUUGUUUGACUCUUGUAAAUGUAUUGUUUGACUCGGAGUCUAAUUGUUGUAAAUAAAAUUAAUUAUUUGAUUUUUUU